UACGUAGGGGGCUAGCGUUGUCCGGAAUCAUUGGGCGUAAAGCGCGUGUAGGCGGUUCGGUAAGUCCGCUGUGAAAGUCGGGGGCUCAACCCUCGGAUGCCGGUGGAAACUGUCGGACUUGAGUGUGGCAGAGGGGGGUGGAAUUCCACGUGUAGCAGUGAAAUGCGUAGAUAUGUGGAGGAACACCGAUGGCGAAGGCAGCCCCCUGGGUUAACACUGACGCUCAUGCACGAAAGCGUGGGGAGCAAACAGG
rnacentral:rRNA from 1 species